AAUGCAAUCACAUUCAGAAAAGGAAUAGACUUUUUCUUUGUGUUUCCUUUUAAAAGUUAGGAAAUAUUUCCUGUAAGUUAUUAGUUAUCCUCAUGUCUCAUUGGCCAGAAUUGUACCACAUGCCUACGAUACUAACCAAUCAUUGGUGAGGAGAAUGAGAUCACCGGGGUUGACUAAUUAGGACUUACUCUGGGAGUUAGGCUUAUCCUGAAGCACACAGCCAUGAGGAAAGGGCUAAGAACUGGAACAAAAUGGAUUUCUUUGGAGUAGAAAAGAGGGGGUGUACCAAUGAUCUGUCAAGUGAUGCGACACUAGAAUCAGGCUGGAAUUUGGCGUCUUACGGCUACAAAAGUGUUUCAUCAGUCUUCAGGUCUCUGUGCUGAUGUUAAUGCUGGUCAGCUAUGCCUGAAUUCCAACGGGAGGAAGGAAAGAUGAUGUGCAGAGACACAGGGAGAAGACGGCCAUCCACAAGCCAAGAGAGGACAAAGGAGCACAUGCUCAAAAAGAAGUAGAUUGGGAGUGCCUGCGGACCCAGAGACUGACCAUCAAAGAAGACAGGAAAGUUAAGGCUCAGAGUGGCCAAGUGACUUCCUCAUGACAUUUCAGCAUUGACUUGUGGCCUCCCAAACACAAACCUGGACUCUGUGAAUACCAAAAUCUGGGGAUACUCAAGUCCCUUAUAUAAAAUGGUAUAAUGGUGUAUAGCCCAUGCACAUAAUCUCUAGAUUACUUAUAAUAUCUAAUACAAUGUAAGUGGUAUGUAAAUAGUAGUUAUACUUUAUUGAUUUUUAUUUGUGUUUUUAGCUGUUGUAUUGUUACUGUUUUUUAUUCCCAAAUAUUUCCCAUCUGCCAUUGGUUGAAUACAGGAUGCAGAACUGGAGGAUAUGAAGGGCUGAGUGUAGUUAGUAAAUUCAUAGAUAAGGAUCUUUCUUAUCAGAAUCAAAUAAAUGCAAAUUAAAAAACAAAAAUAUAAUGUCUUAGCUACUGAAUUUAUUUUCCCUAAAAUUAACAAUACCUAAUACUAGAAGCAGCAUCUUCAAAACUGGUUGUUGG